rnacentral:rRNA from 1 species
UAGGGAAUCUUCCACAAUGGACGAAAGUCUGAUGGGGCAACGCCGCGUGAGUGAAGAAGGGUUUCGGCUCGUAAAACUCUGUUGUUAAAGAAGAACAUAUCUGAGAGUAACUGUUCAGGUAUUGACGGUAUUUAACCAGAAAGCCACGGCUAACUACGUGCCAG